rnacentral:rRNA from 1 species
UACAGAGGAGGCAAGCGUUGUUCGGAAUUACUGGGCGUAAAGGGCGCGUAGGCGGCCUGUUAAGUCGAACGUGAAAUCCCCGGGCUCAACCCGGGAACUGCGUCCGAUACUGGCAGGCUUGAAUCCGGGAGAGGGAUGUGGAAUUCCAGGUGUAGCGGUGAAAUGCGUAGAUAUCUGGAGGAACACCGGUGGCGAAGGCGGCAUCCUGGACCGGUAUUGACGCUGAGGCGCGAAAGCCAGGGGAGCAAACGGG